AAUCCAAGCAUCGGGCAUUUCCAAAGUAAUUUUUUAAAUCGUUCCCUUGCUUCAUACAGUGUUUCAUUCUCUAAUUGUCGAAAAGAUGAGGUGUCAUUUCUAAGCUU
rfam:Gossypium raimondii chromosome 5, whole genome shotgun sequence.